UUUAGACAACUUGGGCUUUAUUUGUAAUAAAUCUAGUGAAUAAAAUUCCAGCUAUAGGUUCCCAGUUUAUAUUAAUUAUGUAUAUAUAACCAUGUGGUAAUUAUACAUAUCUAAGCAAGAGAUUAUGGCUUUCAGUUUAGAAAAAGACUAGAAUAAGAGGAUAUCAUUCAACUAUUAAGUCCUUGGGUUAAAAAAAAGAAUUUCCCUGUUUACCAAAAGGCACUUGAAGACAUCAGGAAAAUACAAUGGCAUCAGUGAUUGUCAAAUUCAAUAAUAUUGCAAUCUCAAAUGUAUACCCUGGAUAUACCUAUGUUCUCAUCAGCACAGGUAAUGCAAGUUAUAUAUAUUGCAACUUUUUAAUGAAAUACAGAUUCAAAAGGAUAUUUCUAAUAUAGAUAGAUGUAGCUUCCUUUCUAAUAAACUGUUUUACUAUUUCUACCCAAUAGAUAAUAUUUAAAGUUUUAAGUCACAAUUUGUUUUAAGUAAAUUAUUUAACAAACUUUAAAGUUUAGAUAAAUGUAAAAUAUUAAGAUAUUCAUAGUAUUAAAAACAAAUUUUGCAUUUUAAAGCCCAUCUUAGAAAUUAUGCCCUAUACCUUAAAAACAAUAUGUGUUGGUGAUAUGCCACUAAAUAACCUUUCAAGUAG
rnacentral:lncRNA from 1 species